rnacentral:rRNA from 1 species
AAUCUACCUCAUACUGGGGAAUAGCCCGAAGAAAUUCGGAUUAAUACCCCAUAGUAUUUAUUGAUCGCAUGGUUAAUAAAUUAAAGAUUUAUCGGUAUGAGAUGAGCAUGCGUCCUAUUAGUUAGUUGGUGAGGUAACGGCUCACCAAGACUACGAUAGGUAGGGGUUCUGAGAGGAUGAUCCCCCACACUGGUACUGAGACACGGACCAGACUCCUACGGGAGGCAGCAGUGAGGAAUAUUGGUCAAUGGACGCAAGUCUGAACCAGCCAUGCCGCGUGCAGGAAUAAGGUCCUAUGGAUUGUAAACUGCUUUUAUACAGGAAUAAACCUCCCGACGUGUCGGGAGCUGAAGGUACUGUAGGAAUAAGCACCGGCUAACUCCGUGCCAGCAGCCGCGGUAAUACGGAGGGUGCGAGCGUUAUCCGGAAUUAUUGGGUUUAAAGGGUCCGCAGGCGGUCCGAUAAGUCAGAGGUGAAAGCCCACAGCUUAACUGUGGAAUUGCCUUUGAAACUGUCGGACUUGAAUUAAGUAGGCGUUGGCGGAAUAUGACAUGUAGCGGUGAAAUGCAUAGAUAUGUCAUGGAACACCGAAAGCGAAGGCAGCUAACGAUGCUUAUAUUGACGCUCAUGGACGAAAGCGUGGGUAGCGAACAGGAUUAGAUACCCUGGUAGUCCACGCCGUAAACGAUGAU